UACGUAGGGUGCAAGCGUUGUCCGGAAUUAUUGGGCGUAAAGGGCUCGUAGGCGGUCCAUCGCGUCGGGUGUGAAAAGCUGGGGCUUAACCCCAGUCCUGCUUCCGAUACGGGUGGACUAGAGGUAGGUAGGGGAGAUCGGAAUUCCUGGUGUAGCGGUGAAAUGCGCAGAUAUCAGGAGGAACACCGGUGGCGAAGGCGGAUCUCUGGGCCGUACCUGACGCUGAGGAGCGAAAGCAUGGGGAGCAAACAGG
rnacentral:rRNA from 1 species